CCUACGGGAGGCAGCAGUGAGGAAUAUUGGUCAAUGGGAGGAAUCCUGAACCAGCCAUGCCGCGUGCAGGACGACGGCUCUACGAGUUGUAAACUGCUUUUGUACCGGGGUAAAAUGCCUUACGUGCAGGGUUUUGAAUGUACGGUACGAAUAAAGAUCGGCUAACUCCGGGCCAGCAGCCGCGGUAAUCCGGAGGAUCCGAGCGUUAUCCGGAUGCAUUGGGUUUAAAGGGUGCGGAGGUUGUGUUAUAAGUUAGCAGUGAAAUACCGAUGCUCAACAUCGGGGCUGUCGCUAAUACUGUAGGACUAGGGAUCGGAUGCAGCAGGCGGAAUGUGUAGUGUAGCGGUGAAAUGCAUAGAUAUUACACAGAACACCGAUUGCGAAGGCAGCUUGCUAGGCCGGAUCUGACACUGAUGCACGAAAGCGUGGGGAUCGAACAGGAUUAGAUACCCGGGUAGUC
rnacentral:rRNA from 1 species